CCAGUAGCGGCGAGCGAACGGGGAGCAGCCCAGAGCCUGAAUCAGUGUGUGUGUUAGUGGAAGCGUCUGGAAAGGCGUGCGAUACAGGGUGACAGCCCCGUACACAAAAAUGCACAUGCUGUGAGCUCGAUGAGUAGGGCGGGACACGUGGUAUCCUGUCUGAAUAUGGGGGGACCAUCCUCCAAGGCUAAAUACUCCUGACUGACCGAUAGUGAACCAGUACCGUGAGGGAAAGGCGAAAAGAACCCCGGCGAGGGGAGUGAAAAAGAACCUGAAACCGUGUACGUACAAGCAGUGGGAGCACGCUUAGGCGUGUGACUGCGUACCUUUUGUAUAAUGGGUCAGCGACUUAUAUUCUGUAGCAAGGUUAACCGAAUAGGGGAGCCGAA
rnacentral:rRNA from 1 species